UAUCAUUAUACAACAGGUUAAAACUCUGUUUCGUUGCCAAAUUAAAAUGAAUCUACUACACGGUUUGUUUUUGGUGCUAUUUAUCGUUGAAUUCUCGGAACUUCAAGGGAAACAUGGCUUUUUCUCGCAAGCUCUUCUUAAGGGCGAAAUGAUUGAAAACAUGUCACAGGCGAAGUUUGUGGC